rnacentral:rRNA from 1 species
CUUCCGUAGGGUGAACCUGCGGAGGGAUCAUUACCGAGUUUACAACUCCCAAACCCCUGUGAACAUACCUAUUGUUGCCUCGGCGGAUCAGCCCGGCCCCGGUAAAACGGGACGGCCCGCCAGAGGACCCUAAACUCUGUUUUUAGUGUAACUUCUGAGUAAAACAAACAAAUAAAUCAAAACUUUCAACAACGGAUCUCUUGGUUCUGGCAUCGAUGAAGAACGCAGCAAAAUGCGAUAAGUAAUGUGAAUUGCAGAAUUCAGUGAAUCAUCGAAUCUUUGAACGCACAUUGCGCCCGCCAGUAUUCUGGCGGGCAUGCCUGUUCGAGCGUCAUUUCAACCCUCAAGCACAGCUUGGUGUUGGGAUUUGCGGAGUAAUUCGCAGUCCCCAAAUCUAUUGGCGGUCACGUCGAGCUUCCAUAGCGUAGUAAUUACACCUCGUUACUGGUAAUCGUCGCGGCCACGCCGUUAAACCCCAACUUCUGAAUGUUGACCUCGGAUCAGGUAGGAAUACCCGCUGAACUUAAGCAUAUCAAAAGCCGGGAGGAA